rnacentral:lncRNA from 1 species
ACAUAUCCAAAACAUAUAAGCAAGUUAAAACAAAUAAAUGCUAAAUAGUAAAAGCGACCCCCAAAUGAAUUUUUCUUGCUAUUUGGAUAGUCUAAGAUAUCGACUUCAUGUGCGGGUAUGAUGGUGUCGAGUCCAUGAGACUCUAAUUUUGGUAGAGUCCUUAAAUGAGCCCUCUUGCACGGUGAGAGUCUUUUAUUGAGACUCCAAAUAGCUCCGGAAGUGUUCAUGCAAAUAAAGAACAAAAUAAAGAGAUUAGGGAGACAAAUCCACUUUAAGACUAUAUCAAAUAAACCAAACAUGAAGCUAGUAAAGUCGUACAACCAAAAUACUAUCCGGAAUGGAAAAUAUGUAAGCAUAGGAUAAGUCGACUUAUUAACAUAACUCAAAGUAACUAGUCUACAAGAUAAAACUAACUCUCAAGUUUAUCCAACUUAAUCUAUAACAAAGUUACAUUUUAAGGCAUGAAGAUAAUUAAAACAAGCCAUCUAUUUAAAACUUAUAAGAAAGAUUUAACAGAUAUACUAUAUAUGUUGACAUAAUAGGAAAGAAACUUAAAAACUAACAUUUUUUAAAAUAACAUAUUCAGAGAUUUACAUGUCAUUUAUUUAGAAAAAUUGAAGGAAGCUUAUGUACACAUAUUUGCUAAAAAAUAAUAGGAAAGAAGUUUAAAGAUUCACAAGCAAUUGACAGUAGGUUUUCCAUUCAACAGAGGGAACACAUAGAGGCAUCAUAACAUAAAAUCUAUUGCCAGAUAAGGAUACCAAAUGCCAUUAAUUUAUAAGAACAGAAGAUUUGAUCACAAAACCAUUAUAUGACAGUUAAAAAUGUAAAAUAAACGUGACUUUGGAUAUCUAAAAGAUUUGAGCUAAGCCCAAAUACAUUUUAAACAUCACCUUUAGUAUAGCUAAAAGUGAGCAGAGACAACAUUUUCGUCAUGAUGACAAAGAAAAAAAAGGAAAAGAGGAACACAUUACAAGUUGGCUAUCGAAAUACAAAGUUUAGGGCAUUUUAUUUGUGCCUUAAUCUAGUAAAAGGCAAUACUCCGACAAACAUAAACGAAGGAAUACAUAUUUGUAUAGGCUGAACAAUAUCUCAAAACAGAGGGAUAUAUAUUUGGUUAACAUCACUUAAGUAUGCUGAUAAGUAUUUUACUCAUUUGUCAAAACUUCAAACAAAGCAUAGUUUCCAAAGAGUUUACUACCUAAAAAUGAGUCUUGGAAACAUGAUUUCUAAAAAAAAAAACAAUCUUCAAAAUACUUUAACAUAUGAUUUUAUAAAAAGAAAUGAACAAAAAGUGAAUAUUAAAAUCAAAGACCAGCUAAGUUACAUUCAUUCAUCAUGAUGCCAAAACACAAAAGUACUGAAAUGAAACUAACAGUAAGUCCAUAACACAAUAAAACACAAAUUCGUCCACAUGUCAUGAAAAUAAAAUAAAAAAGAAACUAGAUGUCACUGACCUAUUUCGGGGCAACGAACUGGGGCGUUUUCGGUCGAAGAUCUAUGCUCGAAUACAAAGACGAGGGUAAGCCUGUUCAAAUCCAAAAUUGUAGCAACAAGAUGAAGAACAAGGCUUUAAAACUAGGUGUGAUAGCUUCAAAGCUUUUAGGGUAAACGAGUAGCUGAAAAAAUUAUCGAAAUUGAUUCCAAUUACAAGUAUUUAUAGGGAGAAAAACAGAGUCUAUGAGCGGGAGUUUGAAUUUUUGAAUUUGUCAAAAAAACAAACCUUCAAAUCCAAACGUUUGAAGCCCUUAGGAUAAGAUUUGCUGGAGCCACGUGAUUGAGAUGACAUCGGUGUGAAGAUG